GCUCAGCGACGCCGAGAGACACAGGAAGGGAGGGAGAUGGAGGAACAUGCAGGGAUUAUUCUGCUUUUCUGAGUUCAUCGAGGAGGUCGGAGGGUCUGGUGCACUUGGGGUGGAAGAUGCAAAAUGGUUAGAGGCAGGAUGGGAACGAGCCCUGGCUGGUCGCUGCUUUUGACAGCUCUGUGGACUCUCUAUGGGGUCACUGGAGCGCAGUCACCUGUCACAGCUCAGUGUGCAGAGGAUGUCAUCCUGGGAUGCACCUUCCGCCAUAUACAUGGGAUAAAACUCCAUCGAUUGAACAUCACCUGGAAGAUGCAAAAUGCUGAGGGGGUGGAUCUCCUGGUUCACAGCUACUAU